rnacentral:rRNA from 1 species
AGCGAACGCUGGCGGCAGGCUUAACACAUGCAAGUCGAGCGGGCCUUUCGGGGUCAGCGGCGGACGGGUGAGUAACGCGUGGGAACGUGCCCUCUGGUUCGGAAUAACUCAGGGAAACUUGAGCUAAUACCGGAUACGCCCUUUUGGGGAAAGGCUUGCUGCCGGAGGAUCGGCCCGCGUCUGAUUAGCUAGUUGGUGAGGUAACGGCUCACCAAGGCGACGAUCAGUAGCUGGUCUGAGAGGAUGAUCAGCCACACUGGGACUGAGACACGGCCCAGACUCCUACGGGAGGCAGCAGUGGGGAAUAUUAGACGAUGGGCGCAAGCCUGAUCCAGCCAUGCCGCGUGAGUGAUGAAGGCCUUAGGGUUGUAAAGCUCUUUUAUCCGGGACGAUAAUGACGGUACCGGAGGAAUAAGCCCCGGCUAACUUCGUG